GACGAACGCUGGCGGCGUGCCUAAUACAUGCAAGUAGGACGCAGUUGCGAACGGGUGAGUAACGCGUAGGUAACUACCUAUUAGAGGGGGAUAACUAUUGGAAACGAUAGCUAAUACCGCAUACUAGUAGAUGGACCUGCGUUGUAUUAGCUAGUAGGUAGGGGAAUGGCCUACCUAGGCAACGAUACAUAGCCGACUUGGUAGGGUGAAUGGGCACACUGGGAAUGAGACAAGGCCCUGACUCCGACGGGCGGCAGCAGUGGGGAAUGUUCGGGAAUGGGGGGAAACCUGACCGAGCAACGGCUCGUGAGUGAAGAAGGUUUUCGGGUCGGAAAGCUCUGUUGUUAAGGAAGCGGUACUUAACCAGAAAGGGACGGCUAACUACGUGCCAGCAGCCGCGGUAAUAG
rnacentral:rRNA from 1 species